UCACGAUGAUGACGUUGAUGAUGAUGAUGACGAUGAUGAUCAUCGUCAUCUUCACUAUUAUCACUAUGA
rnacentral:pre_miRNA from 1 species